CAUAAAAGUAAAUAAAUAAAAUAAAGGUAUUGUGUCCAACUACAACUAAAAAAAAUAAAAAGAAGGUGUAAUGACAAGACUAUAGAUUAGGCAUGAAUUAAAAAGACAAAGCUGUCAGUCUCAGAAGUGUGUAGAAUGGAGAAGAUCAGGGGUCAGAAAAAGUGUUAAGGAUUACAUGGGCUGGUGCUUGAUCUCUGUGGGAAAUCUCAGUGACUGGAGUGAUUGUUUGCUAGGAAAUGUCAGAAAUUAAGAUAAAGCCUGAAGCAACCAUUGCUGGAAGCCUUGAAAACAUUAGGAUUAAUCUUUUUUAAAGUAGACAUGAGAGAGUGUUUUGGUAUAACAAAUAAGUUCUACUAGUUGAGGAUGGCUGGAAUCAUGAUGAGGUAAAACUCAGGAGAUCAAUCUAGAUUCACUGAUGUAUCAGAGUUUGUGGAGAAAAGAAGUUCAGAAUGUUUAAGAUAGGGCAGGGCAAGUGAUCAAAGGGAGUUUAAGGAAUCAUGUCAAGACUGGCUAAGAGUGAGAGAAGCAACUAAGAAAACAUGUAUUUUAAAAAGAGAGAGAAAAGGGGGAAGGAAGAGAUGUUUGGGUAAAGAGGAAAUGUAUGAAUUAGGUUUGGUUUGGAAUCUGCAAGGUACCAUAUGGCAAAUAAGACUGAGACUAGAAAGAAGAAUGCAGGUAUCAUUAGCUCUCCUGUCACACAAAUUAAAUACUGCUUAACAUGAAAAGUUCUUAUAUAUAAAACAUCAUGUGCUUGAAAAAUUUGGUACAGCGAGUUACCAUUCUUGUGCUAACAAAAACGAUUGCUUGCACACAAGCCUGCUUGAAAUGGUACAUUUUUGCUGUGGCCAUAGCUCUUCUAUCAGUAGGCUCGCUUCCUAUGCUGAAGGAUUUUAAACAUAUGCAAUAUUCCUGUCAUCUCCCCAAAAUAUGAGUGGGAAAACUUGAGCAACUCGUCAAUUGGUAAGUAAACAUUUCCACAUUUCUUCUUUAUAUAUUUCAUUUAAAAAUACGUUUUUGUUAUUUAUCUUGAAAUUAUGUCAUUGUUACUUGCAGUGUAAAAGGAAAAUGCAAUUAUGAUCUUUAUUUUAGUAUGGGAACUUCUGUACCACACACAAACAUGUCUACUAUUAAUGAAAUAUAUGUAAGAUAAUGAGGCAGGUGUCCUUUAAAAUAACCAAGAAAUUUGUGAAAGUUUUCAUCAGUGUUUUAAUGAUGAUUUGGAAACUAUGUUGGGUUUUUUUUAAAGGGAGAUGGAUUGGGGCUGUUUAAAAUUUAAGAUAAUGCAAUAGAAAUGUUUAUUACCAAAAACUGUUAUUUAAGUGCAAAGGAUAUUGAAACUUUCCUGUGCUCAUGGCAGUUAAGUCAGGAAGAGGACUGUGGAGUGUGGUUGUUUUUAAAGAAAGACGAAAAGAAAAUGCAUUUAUAAAGAAAAGUCUAAUCAAUAGAAAAGUUGGUGACAAGUUCAGUGAAGUGGAUAAAAAAACAAGUGGUAGGAAUCUUAUCAGAAACAAAGAGAGAAUGAAAGCAACUCAGCACAGUAUAUAAGAAAGCAGAGAUUCAGAAAUGGAUCAAGCAAUGCAUGUAGACAAAGAGGUACCUAACAGGAAGACAUCAGUGAAUGAAUAGUGGUGAUACAAGAGUAUAUAGGUGCUAAUAAAAAUAGUUUUCCAAGGCUAAAUAGGGAAAACAUAAGAAAACCAGUGGAUAAGCAAUGUAAAAUUUACUUUUAGAUAAAGGUCAUGUAAGGUUGACAUAUUGCCAAGAUUUGGCACUGUAAUUAUAACAAAUGGAGCAAGAAAAAAAUAUAGGAGGAAACUAAGUGAAAUGAAAAGUGUAUAGACUUGAUAACAUUUUGGAGAAAUUUGAAUAAAUACAGGGCUGAUAGCAUCACAAUUAGGAAACCUAUAAACAAUGAAGUCAGUAAAACAAGGGCGUAAACCAAAAAAACGGACAUAGGGUUAAGAGGAACCAAAGUUACCCAAGAAGAAAAGAGUGGAGGUGAGAGACACUAAAGUGAGAAGACAACUAUAUGUAUCAGAGUGGAAUGUUAGAUUUUCUAAAUCUGGGAUUAAAGUAGAUGCUGAGAAAAACAAGAGAGAAAAAUAUCAUCAAUAUACACAAGGAAAGAAAAAACAGAAAAAAAAAGAAACAUGUAGAUUAACAGGAAGAAUGUAGAUAAUGACCAUAUUACAGUGCAUUAAAAAGAAUGUGUGAUGGGGAGAGAAGUAGACAGUAAGGGAUGGUCCUACAUGCGGGAUCUGGUGACACUUGAUGGUACAUAAUUUUAAAGACAGAAAAUGUUACAAGAUACCAGACUGACAAAAGGGAAUUAAGAACAUGGGCAGCUUUUGGGGCUGGGGUUAUGGCUCAGCGGUAGAGUGCUCACCUAGCACGAGCGAGGUGCUGGGUUCGAUCCUCAGCACCACAUAAAAAUAAAUAAAAUAAAGGUACUGUGGCCAAUUACAACUAAAAAAUACACACACAUAUAUAUGUAUAUGUAUGUGUGUGUGUGUAUGUAUGUGUGUGUGUAUAUAUAUAUAUAUAUAUAUAUAUAUAAUAUGGGCAGCAUUUAUAUAUCUAAGCUUCUGGAAAGGUCAAGUUUACAACCUAGAUAUUUUAGAGGAAUCACUUAAAAGAGUGUGAGUGUGAAGUAGAAAAAAAAGGAAUGGGAGAACAAGGCACAAGCAAGUCAUGGAGGCGGGGAAAGAGAAUAUACAAAAAGAUGGCUUCCUUGAGAAUUCUGGGUUUUUAUCAAAGUUUAGAAAAUAAUGACAAUGUAAAUGUAAGAAGUAUAAAUGCACAAUGGAUCAAGGUACACAAAAAAGAAAGAUAAAGCUUACAACAUAGGUUAAAAGGAAAAAGGAAUUGUCUGACUCUCUAAAACAAUUAUUUUGAGGAAAAGAAGAUGAAAAUGAGGGGGAGAAAACAUCAAUUGAGUAAUUUAAGCUGGGGUUGAGGCAUGUUGUAUGUGAAGGAGUAGACAGGGAGGGGAAAGGGGUGGAUCCCAAUGGAGAGUGCCAGAUCUAAAUCAGAGGGGGAAGUGCUGAGAUCCUAAAGUGAGGACCUCCAAUGGUCACCACUGGAGGAAGGCUGGAGGUAGGAGAUGGGAGAGUGAAGUCCAGAGAGUACAGGUGGCGUCCACACCAGUGAUUCUUAACCGGGGGUGGGGGGGGUGGAUUCCACCCGAGGGGGGGCUGUGGGCACGGCCCCCAGGUAGGCCUAUCAGAGCAUCAGGGGGAGCACUGAUUUGCUCACAAACAGAAACAGCAACAACAAACUGACCCAAAGAUGACUCUGAUAGGCCACCUGGGUGUUGUGCAUCCCCGGGUGGGAAUCACUGGUGGAGGGGGGAGAAAGGAGAUGGGGCAGAGAUGGGAGGGUGAGCACCUGACACCUGUGAGUCAGGGUAGGUGGAGGCAUCAGAGAUAUGACUGUCAAUCAUGGGAGGAAAGGCCCAUCAGACCAAGGAAAUGGAUGAAGCAGAGGGGCACCUGGGAGGAUGGAGGCUGAGUGGGGGUUUUCUGCCAAGGGCAGGGACAGCAGCACCAACAGUGUGGUUCCAGCUGAGGACUGAGGUGGAAGUGAGGCUGAGAGGGGUGGGUGGCACACAGGAGGACAAUGUGUGGGUGUGGGCAAAGAGGAGCAGGCUGGUAGUACACAGGAAAGGAAGGGGCAGAGGGGAGUGGAGCCAGCACUGAAGGUGAGCUCAUGGAGGAGCUGACUGCCGACGAGGAACAGAAAGAGCAGAGGCGGUGG
rnacentral:lncRNA from 1 species